UUCGCUUCCCAGUCUUUUGGCUAAGAUCAAGUGUAGUAUCAGUUUUAUAUCUGAUACGUUCUCUAUAUAGCGACUAUAUAAUAAAUUGAUUUUUAGAACAGGGAGAUGAAGAGGGGCUUGCUCCGUCCUCUCCACGCAUCGACCUAGUAUUGCAGUACCACUGGGAAUGUACCACCUCCU
ensembl:snRNA U2 U2 spliceosomal RNA